CUUCCUUCGUGAAAUAUUGAUUGUGCUUGGUGACGGAAGAGAAUCCGCAGAACUUUCCUUUUCGACACAGGAGUGGAUGUAUAAUUUCACUGAUGUUGUACGUGAAGUACGGGCUCGAACAUGGAAGAGUAUGUUGGUAAUGUUAGCUUGAACAUCCUCCAUAGGUGGAUAGUUACGCUAAGAGGGACAGUAAUUUAUAUUUGUUAAGUGAGAAUUAUGCAUAUUAUGAUUUGAUUAGAAGUAGCACCAGAUCAGAAGCUCUUUUGUAAAUUUCUUCUGCAGUAAGGGACAACAAUUUUUCUCCUUCUUUAUCCAUAAUUAUUCCAAUUGUUGAGCCUGAGUUAUCUUUGAGAUCCACCUCAAACCUGCACCUGUAGUAUUAUAUAUGUAAAACAUAGUGAUUUGAUGUUUUGAAUAAGAAGAAUGUGAAACAAUAUACGGGCAGAUACAUAUUAUAUAGUACGUGGGUACUAACAGAUUUUUCUAGUCGCAGUUCAUAUAAUGAAUUUCUCUUUAUGGUUGGAUAGCAUACGUCUUGUCCGCAGUUUGAACAGACCAACAUAUAUAAUUUCUUAAGGUCAAUGGGGAAUGUUUUUUUUGCCUCAUUUGUAAAUGUCUGGCCCUGUGUGAGGAGAAAGAUAAGGAUGAGAAUUAUUAUAGUAGAUUUGGAGCUGAAGUAAAGGGGAAAUGUUGUACUGACAUCUUGUUGCGAGUCAAUGUUUGCAAUAGGUACCACUUCUUCAAUCUUCAUCCAUUGGAACAGAGAUGAGAAAUCCUGUACUCAAUUGCAUUCUUAUUUAAUGGGCGCAGGCUUAGGGCACGGCAAACUCCUGAUGAGCUGGAGAUGGAGGAGGGUGAUGAAAUCGAUGCAAUGCUACAUCAAACUGGAUGCUGCACUUGUUUCUCUAAUUUUUAACGUGGUUUAUGUUAGUAGAUUGUUUAGGUGAUACUUUCAACUCCCUCAUAUGCUCUAAUUUAUGAAUGUUUAGUUUACUCUGAAUUGUGUCUUAGCACCUCACUUUGCCUAAUAACAUUUCAUACACCUCAUAAUAAUAUUAUUGUA